rnacentral:rRNA from 1 species
AGAGUUUGAUCCUGGCUCAGGAUGAACGCUAGCGACAGGCUUAACACAUGCAAGUCGAGGGGCAGCACGAUGUAGCAAUACAUUGGUGGCGACCGGCGCACGGGUGAGUAACGCGUAUGCAACCUACCUAUCAGAGGGGAAUAACCCGGCGAAAGUCGGACUAAUACCGCAUAAAACAGGGGUUCCACAUGGAAAUAUUUGUUAAAGAAUUAUCGCUGAUAGAUGGGCAUGCGUUCCAUUAGAUAGUUGGUGAGGUAACGGCUCACCAAGUCCACGAUGGAUAGGGGUUCUGAGAGGAAGGUCCCCCACACUGGUACUGAGACACGGACCAGACUCCUACGGGAGGCAGCAGUGAGGAAUAUUGGUCAAUGGGCGAGAGCCUGAACCAGCCAAGUCGCGUGAGGGAAGACGGCCCUAAGGGUUGUAAACCUCUUUUGUCGGGGAGCAAGAAAGCGUACGUGUACGCUACUGAGAGUACCCGAAGAAAAAGCAUCGGCUAACUCCGUGCCAGCAGCCGCGGUAAUACGGAGGAUGCGAGCGUUAUCCGGAUUUAUUGGGUUUAAAGGGUGCGUAGGUGGUUAAUUAAGUCAGCGGUGAAAGUUUGUGGCUCAACCAUAAAAUUGCCGUUGAAACUGGUUGACUUGAGUAUAUUUGAGGUAGGCGGAAUGCGUGGUGUAGCGGUGAAAUGCAUAGAUAUCACGCAGAACUCCGAUUGCGAAGGCAGCUUACUAAACUAUAACUGACACUGAAGCACGAAAGCGUGGGGAUCAAACAGGAUUAGAUACCCUGGUAGUCCACGCAGUAAACGAUGAUUACUAGCUGUUUGCGAUACACAGUAAGCGGCACAGCGAAAGCGUUAAGUAAUCCACCUGGGGAGUACGCCGGCAACGGUGAAACUCAAAGGAAUUGACGGGGGCCCGCACAAGCGGAGGAACAUGUGGUUUAA